AUAGCCCAGGUACAUCUGAAAGGAGUGAGAAGUGUUUUGAGGGCUCUCCCUGUCUCUUCCUGCACCUCUCUCUUGUGAUCCCAGAAGCUACAACCUCAGCCCAGAUUAGCAGGCUGAGGGGUCAGGAGGCUGUCACUGGAGCUGUUGAGCUCAUGAACACGCCGAAGUUGCUGCGCUCCAGAAAUGUGGAAGUUGGAAUGAAGAGCCACCACUGCUGCCACCAACAUGAAGCUUGACCAAGCAAGCCAAGAAAAGAUGGCCAAGAGCCUCUGCCUUCCUUCUGCCUUCUGCAACGCAAUGAAAGGCAACCCAGGAGGAGACUGGAAUAAAUGCUGAGUGCCAAUUUCCAACACAAGUAGUCAUUAUAAUUGGGAGAAGGCUACUUGGACCUAAAGGAAUGAAUUAGGAAGCGGUCUACUACCAAAGUACAAUGAAGGUCAGUUUUCUUCAUACCUUAAUAUGAAAAACGUUUUAAAAUGUCUCAAUUUCCCUAUGCUAACCUCUGGUCACAGAGGCUUGAGGGCUUCCUAUAGUACCAAAGUAUGACUUGCCAGUUAAAAAGAAAACGAAUUCUUGCCCCCAGGGGUAAAGAUAACAAAUUUAGAACACUAUGACAUACAUCUAUUAAUAUUUGCAGAAGGAGUAUAUGUUGUUACAUUAACAUACAGAAAUUGCAUAGUUGAUCCAGAGGGAAGUCUGGAGAGUACAGGGAUGGAAAAAAGGAGGAGGAUGGAAAAGAAUGGGAACUAAAACUUAGGUGACUACGUUAAGGAUUACCCAUGAGAGCAAGACACAGGAUAAAGUACUGAAAACAAAAAAAAAAA
rnacentral:lncRNA from 1 species